rnacentral:rRNA from 1 species
UGCGGUGGCUAUAGCGGCGGGGAACCACCUCUUCCCAUUCCGAACAGAGAAGUUAAGCCCGCCAUCGCCGAUGGUACUGCCCCACCAGGUGGGAGAGUAGGCAGCUGCCGUUC